rnacentral:tRNA from 1 species
CAGGUGAUGUCCGAGAGGCUAGGAGCUCACUUUGGGAGUGAGAAAACGUUGGUUCGAUCCCAACUUACCUGA